rnacentral:rRNA from 1 species
UGUUGCUUUGGCGGCUUCGGCCGCCAAAGGACCUUCAAACUCCAGUCAGUAAACGCAGACGUCUGAUAAACAAGUUAAUAAACUAAAACUUUCAACAACGGAUCUCUUGGUUCUGGCAUCGAUGAAGAACGCAGCGAAAUGCGAUAAGUAAUGUGAAUUGCAGAAUUCAGUGAAUCAUCGAAUCUUUGAACGCACAUUGCGCCCCUUGGUAUUCCGGGGGGCAUGCCUGUUCGAGCGUCAUUACAACCCUCAAGCUCUGCUUGGAAUUGGGCACCGUCCUCACUGCGGACGCGCCUCAAAGACCUCGGCGGUGGCUGUUCAGCCCUCAAGCGUAGUAGAAUACACCUCGCUUUGGAGCGGUUGGCGUCGCCCGCCGGACGAACCUUCUGAACUUUUCUCAAGGUUGACCUCGGAUCAGGUAGGGAUACCCGCUGAACUUAAGCAUAUCAAUAAGCGGAGGAAAAGAAACCAACAGGGAUUGCCUUAGUAACGGCGAGUGAAGCGGCAACAGCUCAAAUUUGAAAGCUGGCCCUUUUAGGGUCCGCAUUGUAAUUUGUAGAGGAUGAUUCGGCGAGGGCUCCUGCCUAAGUCCCCUGGAACGGGGCGUCAUAGAGGGUGAGAAUCCCGUAUGCGGUAGGUUGCCUUAGCCAUGUGAAUCUCCUUCGACGAGUCGAGUUGUUUGGGAAUGCAGCUCUAAAUGGGAGGUAAAUUUCUUCUAAAGCUAAAUACCGGCCAGAGACCGAUAGCGCACAAGUAGAGUGAUCGAAAGAUGAAAAGCACUUUGGAAAGAGAGUUAAAAAGUACGUGAAAUUGUUGAAAGGGAAGCGCUUGCAACCAGACUUGUCCGCAGUUGCUCAGCCGGUCUCCUGACCGGCGUACUCUUCUGCGGCCAGGCCAGCAUCAGUUCGGGCGGUCGGAUAAAGGCC